GGGUGCGUAACGCGUAUGCAACCGGCCCCCCUCACCGGGAUAGCCGGUGGAAACGCCGGAUAAUACCGGAUGUUCCCGCGGGGAGGCAUCUUCCCACGGGCAAGGCGGAGACGCGGAGGGGGACGGGCAUGCGUGCCAUUAGAUAGUCGGCGGGGUGACGGCCCACCGAGUCUACGAUGGCUAGGGGAUCUGAGAGGACGGUCCCCCACACUGGUACUGAGACACGGACCAGACUCCUGCGGGAGGCAGCAGUAAGGGAUAUUGGGCAAUGGGGGCAACCCUGACCCAGCCAUGCCGCGUGAGGGAAUGAGGCCCUACGGGUCGUGAACCUCUUUUAUUCGGGGACAAUGGCGGCGUCGCGAACGCCGUUUGAGGGUACCGAAGGAAUAAGCGUCGGCUAACUCCGUGCCAGCAGCCGCGGUAAUACGGAGGACGCGAGCGUUAUCCGGAUUCAUUGGGUUUAAAGGGUGCGCAGGCGGCCUUGCAAGUCAGCGGUGAAAGCCCGGGGCCCAACCCCGGAAGUGCCGUUGAUACUGUAGGGCUGGAAUGCGGUCGAGGCGGGCGGAACGUGGCGUGUAGCGGUGAAAUGCGUAGAUAUGCCACAGAACGCCGAUAGCGAA
rnacentral:rRNA from 1 species